GCACAUAUCUUCUAAAUUAUAGGCAUAGAAAUUAUAUCUAAUAUUGUAGAAUAUAGGCAUGAGCCAGCUCAUGUCAACUGGACUUCUUUCAGAUCAUUCCUUUGGGAUAGAUAAAAGAUCUUAUGACAUCAUUUUUUUUUUUCUUCUGAUAAGAGUCGGGGGUGGUUUGCUUUGAAAAAAUUUAAUUUUUUUGAAUACUCUAAAUAU
rnacentral:lncRNA from 1 species